rnacentral:misc_RNA from 1 species
GAUGAAGAACGUAGUGAAAUGCGAUAAGUAAUGCGAAUUGCAGAAUUCAGUGAGUCAUCGAAUCUUUGAACGCACAUUGCGCCCGUCAGUAUUCUGACGGGCAUGCCUGUCCGAGCGUCAUUUCAACCCUCAAGCACUGCUUGGCGUUGGCGGAUUGCGUGCCCUCGCGGCGCUGCAACCGCCCAAAUACAGUGGCGGUCCCGCUGCGGCUCCCUUUGCGUAGUAACUCACCUCGCACUGGACCGGGCGGCGGCCUGCCGUAAAACCCCAACUCACGAAAUGUUGACCUCGGAUCAGGUAGGAAUACCCGCUGAACUUAAGCAUAUCAAUAAGCGGAGGA